GGGGUGUCGGGCAGAUCCUGUCGGGUGUCUCCGAGUCUCACACGUUUCCGAUCCUCAGACAGGACGAGGUAACUACAAUCUGGAGCACACUCCCAGCAGAAAUCGUGUAGUGGCCAUCCCAGGAGGUGUUCAAGCGAAGGCUGGACAAGGACAUCCUGGAGCUCAUUUGAGCCCAGUUGCCUCCUGCCCAUGACAGGGGACUGGACUUGGUGAUCUUACUGGUCCCUUCCUGUCCUUCUUUCUAUGACUGUGACUGUGUGCGUGUAAGGAGUGGGACAUGCUGGGUUUCAUUGCAGAGCCUCUUCCAUUCAUGAAGGGCAGCCCAGCUGAGCUCAGCUGCACCUGGGCCCAGUCCCAGCUCCCCUCUAAGCAGCGCCUGCUCUAGGGUCUGGACAGCUCCAGCCUGACCUCCCCUCCCCAGUGUCCCCCAGGGGCUGUGAUCUGUGCACACCUGCUCCUACCGCACAGUGCCCCCAGAGCUUGGCCCAGGCCCCAAGGACUGCCUCCACUGUCCCCUGUCCUCACUCUUGGUAAACAUUCAUCCAGGGGCAGGUCCAGGCAGGGUGUCCCCGCAGGGCUGGAGAUCUUACACCCCACUCUGGAUGCAGACUGGCCAAGGCCAGGCUCUCCCCACACUCACCCUGACUCCAGGCUUAUCUUACACACAUGGGGAAGGUGACAGCUCUGGGCAAGAUAAGUGAGACACCCCCAAUUUCCCUGCCAAGCCUUCCCCAUUCAGGAAAGCCUCAGGGCUGAUCCACACCACAGACUGACCAUCAAAGCCCCUUUAAGAACGGAUGCAUUGACUCUCCCAAACCCAGUCCCAGGUGAAACCAGCUCUGGGCUGCAGCUCUGUGUGGGCAGGACUGCACUGGCUGCUGCUUUGCACCAUCACGGGCAGGAAACAGCUGCAGAGACCAGGCUGGGACCUGCCACUUGGGUCCGUGUUUGUUGCUGCCUGGAGGGGGCUGGGGGCUGCGGGUGCCUGUCUGCACUGUCAGGGCAAGCCCAGGCCUGGCUGAGGCUGACGUCUGGGCCACCUGCCCUUCCUGCUGCCUCAGGGAAGGGAACAGUCUGCCCCUCUGUGGAGCCAGAGCUGACAUGGCAGACAUUGGGACUGACACUCUGAAGGCAUUAUAAGAAAUACCUGAGGCAGGAGAGAAGGUUCCCUAGGAUCUGAAUUCAAAGGAAGUGUCAGGGCAGGCACUGAGCUGCAUCCAGGGCAGGGAGUGUGUGCAGGGGAGAAAGCCCCAGGGUGCGGGGAGUAGCAAGCAACAGGCAGGGAGAGAUGGGCUGGCCAUGGGGCUGGAAGAUGAAGCCCGGAGCAUCAUGCUGUAGGGGCCAAACAUAGCUGGAAAGGAGCUUUCAAUGGAAAGCAGGGAACAGAUACUUGCUGCCUCAUCCGCCUGCACUCAGGGCCUGAGCACAGCCCUGGGAAUGGGCAGGAUGGCACCAAGGGCAUCCCUGUGGUGGUGCUCAGCUCCCUUGGGUACUGCAGGCUGCACCACACUGCAGAGCCCAGGGACUGCAGGCUGUUGGACACUGUGGGACCUUCCCCAUUGCAUGCAGAGGCCCAGAUUUCCCUUCAGCCCUUGCCCUUGAGUUGACAGACAUGGGAUCCUAGAGAUUAACUCAGAGAUUUAACCAGGACAUUGUGUGGCAGCAACUGGGCCUGGGGUAUAUGGAAGAGGAUAAUGUCAAAGCACCGCCACUUUGCUGUCCAGCCCUGAUCCUGACAUUACCUCCUCUCUCCCACAUCAGGAACAGGGAUCCACCUGUUUGACCAUUCCCUGUUUCCAACUUCCCCUGUCCCCACUGGAGUGACCCAGCCGUGCCCUACAUGGAAAUUACAACCGGACUUUUCCCCUUGCCCAUCCAGAGACCCUCGGACAUGGGCUGAGGAGACCGCUGCAGGACUGCAGAGACUCUCUGCCAAAAUGACAGUCAUAUCCCCCGUGCUGCGUGUGCUACAUCCCCCAGUGCACUCAGCACGGCUCUUGCUGCUGCCAAUGACCUGACAUGCACUGCGGUGUACCUUUGAAUUUCCUUAGCAUUUCCACCAUCCCUGGGACGCUGCACGGGGUCUUCAGUUCUGUGGAAACAGCUUUUGCUUCCUCAAGCUUCACAUCCUUGCUCCUAAGAUGAACAUAUCCCUAAUCAUCGCUCAGCCCAGCUCUUCCACAUGGAUAUUCCUGCCACAGCCCGAGCAGAAAUCUACUGGGAGGGGGAAGGGGAAGAUACACACCUGUCCAAGGUCCUUUUCACAUCCUAGAAAGGGAAGGAUGAGGGUAAUAGUGAAUAUUUCCUUGCUGGGCAAAACCAUCUGUACCAACAUUUAUUGAGUUUAUGACUUGUCUGUUCUAUGUGCAUCCAUUUCUUCACUGUCUGAAAAUCCCUAAGUCUGGCUCUGCCUGGUGCACUAGGAUGCUGCCAAGGGGUGAUGAACCAUUUCUUUGCUGUCACCUCUGUCUCAGCAUUACAUUGCUCUGAACAUUUGCAUGGCUACCUCCAGAUGUGCUUCCCUAUCCAUUUUGGCUGCUGACAGAAAUGAUUAAAGAAACCCAAAAAACCCUGUGCUUUACUGGAA